rnacentral:rRNA from 1 species
UACAGAGGGUGCGAGCGUUAAUCGGAAUUACUGGGCGUAAAGGGUGCGUAGGUGGUUAUGUAAGUUAGGUGUGAAAUUCCCGGGCUUAACCUGGGGACUGCGCCUAAUACUGUGUGACUAGAGUACUGUAGAGGGAAGUGGAAUUUCCGGUGUAGCAGUGAAAUGCGUAGAUAUCGGAAGGAACAUCAGUGGCGAAGGCGACUUCCUGGACAGCUACUGACACUGAGGCACGAAAGCAUGGGGAGCAAACAGG